rnacentral:lncRNA from 10 species
AACAGAGAGAAGAUUCUGUAGCUGCAAAAAUACCUCUAGGUGUUCCGGACACUAUGUGCCUAUAGCUGGCUACAGGAUCACAGCAGCCAAAAGCCCUCCAGGAAGAAGUAUGGAAGCAGCUUUAUUGAGGUUGCCAGCAAGGAUUACGGCUUCUUUGACGCAUGAACGUUUUGGAAUUUAUGAGGAUUUUAAUGAGGAUUUUCUGAAAAAAAUAAAAAUUGUUAUGUUCUGGGCAUUCAUCUAUCCUCUCAUCAGCUUUUGAUCUACCACAUCUUGGGAUAUGAAUAAUGUUUCUGUUAAUGAGCCAGCCUCUGGGAACCAUCACUCUCCUAUUGCUUAAGAUUUCCAGUUGUUACCUUAGAAUUUUGCAACAUAAAUUUACAAUUAAUCCA